rnacentral:rRNA from 1 species
GGACUACCGGGGUUUCUAAUCCUGUUUGCUCCCCACGCUUUCGCGCCUCAGCGUCAGUCACGGACCAGGUCGCCGCCUUCGCCACCGGUGUUCUUCCCAAUAUCUACGAAUUUCACCUCUACACUGGGAAUUCCACGACCCUCUUCCGCACUCUAGCACACACGUAUCAAAUGCAGCCCCCAGGUUAAGCCCAGGAAUUUCACAUCUGACUGUGUGCGCCGCCUACGCGCCCUUUACGCCCAGUCAUUCCGAGCAACGCUAGCCCCCUUCGUAUUACCGCGGCUGCUGGCAC